rnacentral:piRNA from 1 species
UAAGAUGAAUAUGAUGCUUUGGGGUGGG